rnacentral:rRNA from 1 species
AGCUCCAAUAGCGUAUAUUAAAGUUGUUGCGGUUAAAAAGCUCGUAGUUGGAUAUCUGACCUUUUGCACGGACAGCCCGCCCCCGUGGUUGAGUGCUGGAGUGCGGGUCUAUUUUUCGGUUGAUGGCAAUUGAGUUAACCCUCAGUUGUGGUUAUCCGGAUCGUUUACUUUGAAAAAUUGGAGUGUUCAAAGCAGGCUUACGCCGUGAACAGUUUAGCAUGGAAUAAUACUAUAGGACAGUCGCGUCUUAUUUUGUUGGUUCUAAGGCCGUUGUAAUGAUUGAUAGGGACAGUUGGGGGUGCUGC